AUGCAGUCCAGCAGUAAUCCUGGCCGGGGAAGAAGCACAUGCACAUCAGGUGGGAAAUAAAGAACAUUGGAACACACAGGCUUUGAACUUAGUAGCGGCGAGGGCUCUGUUUUCCAUGCUGGAAAGUGACCUCCAACCCAGCACAGAUGUACCGCCUAGAGGUGUGUGCACCAGCCACACAGGGGCAAGAUGCCCCCUUUCCACAGUGUGGACAGGAGAAAACAAAUGGCGAUCAGGGUCUGCGUUAGAGGCAGUUUACGGCUCCCCAAAUGUGGGGUGGCCCGGACGUUUCCCAGCUAUGAGGAAUUGGCUGGUCAGAAUGUUGUUGUCUUCUACUGGCAAUGCUUUGAGUGGCUCUUGAGGACUGGCGAGCUUGGCUGGAUAACUCCAAGGCCAGGAUGAAAGCCUGGGGGAACCAAGGAGGGAUGGCGCUACCUUGACGUCCCUGUAGAUGCUAGGGGCUGUCUCUUGCAGAAGAUUUCAAAGAUUUCCUCCUCCCCGUUUACACCAGCAUCAAUGAAAGACCCCAACAGUGAAGCGGACUCGCCUACCACUUUUCAUCUCUGGCGUCACAAGUUGUCAGUCUCUCUGGGCUCCUGAACAUGAAGUGGCUGAUCCAAAGCUCACUCAACGGGCGUCUGUCCAUUGAUUCUUCAGCUGGCUUGGGAGCAGAUCUGAGAUUCUCACAUGUCUGAAAGAGAAGCGGGCCAGCAAGCCUGGCACGUCCCCAUUCUCUUGUGCAGAACAAUCCAAACUACUUCUCGUCAGCGUUUGGCUUUGGAGAAAAGCUUUUCUUGCCUUUAUGGUUUAAUUGAUGGAGGAGUCAGGCAGGGAACAGAAAUGCCCUGAAACAAAGCAGG